UACGGAGGAUCCGAGCGUUAUCCGGAUUUAUUGGGUUUAAAGGGUGCGUAGGCGGCCUUGUAAGUCAGCGGUGAAAUUUUGCAGCUUAACUGUAACAGUGCCGUUGAUACUGGGGAGCUAGGAUUUGGUUGCUGUGGGUGGAAUGUGUGGUGUAGCGGUGAAAUGCUUAGAGAUCACACAGAAUAUCGAUUGCGAAGGCAGCUCACAAAGCCAAGAUUGACGCUGAGGCACGAAAGUGUGGGGAUCAAACAGGAUUA
rnacentral:rRNA from 1 species